rnacentral:rRNA from 1 species
UACGUAGGGUGCAAGCGUUAAUCGGAAUUACUGGGCGUAAAGCGUGCGCAGGCGGUUAUGUAAGACAGUUGUGAAAUCCCCGGGCUCAACCUGGGAACUGCAUCUGUGACUGCAUAGCUAGAGUGCGGUAGAGGGGGAUGGAAUUCCGCGUGUAGCAGUGAAAUGCGUAGAUAUGCGGAGGAACACCGAUGGCGAAGGCAAUCCCCUGGACCUGUACUGACGCUCAUGCACGAAAGCGUGGGGAGCAAACAGG